UUUGACUUUCGUUGAAGUUCC
rnacentral:piRNA from 1 species